rnacentral:rRNA from 1 species
CGGACGGGUGAGUAACACGUGGAUAACCUACCUAUAAGACUGGGAUAACUUCGGGAAACCGGAGCUAAUACCGGAUAAUAUAUUGAACCGCAUGGUUCAAUGGUGAAAGACGGUUUUGCUGUCACUUAUAGAUGGAUCCGCGCCGCAUUAGCUAGUUGGUAAGGUAACGGCUUACCAAGGCAACGAUGCGUAGCCGACCUGAGAGGGUGAUCGGCCAUACUGGAACUGAGACACGGUCCAGACUCCUACGGGAGGCAGCAGAG